rnacentral:sRNA from 1 species
UUGACUCCGUUGCUUUUUCGACCUAAUUUGGAAGGCAAAGGGCGAGGGAGGAUCACUCCCCCCUCUGGUCUCUUAGUAAGUCGCGAAACUUAUCACUAAGAGCACGACCAGUAUGAUGACGAGCUUCAUCAUAUCCCUUUCCUUAAA